rnacentral:rRNA from 1 species
GCGCGAAAACUUUACAAUGCUGGCAACAGCGAUAAGGGAACCUCGAGUGCCAGGUUACAAAUCUGGCUGUCGAGAUGCCUAAAAAGCAUUUCAUAGCAAGGGCCGGGCAAGACCGGUGCCAGCCGCCGCGGUAACACCGGCGGCUCGAGUGGUAACCGUUAUUAUUGGGUCUAAAGGGUCUGUAGCCGGCCGGAUAAGUCUCUUGAGAAAUCUGGCAGCUUAACUGUCAGGCUUUCAGGAGAUACUGUCUGGCUCGAGGCCGGGAGAGGUGAGAGGUACUUCAGGGGUAGGGUGAAAUCUUGUAAUCCUUGAAGGACCACCAGUGGCGAAGGCGUCUCACCAGAACGGACCUGACGGCAAGGGACGAAAGCUAGGGGCACGAACCGGAUUAGAGACCCC